rnacentral:rRNA from 1 species
GAGUUUGAUCGUGGCUCAGAACGAACGCUGGCGGCAUGCCUAACACAUGCAAGUCGAACGAAGGCUUCGGCCUUAGUGGCGCACGGGUGCGUAACGCGUGGGAAUCUGCCCUUUGCUUCGGAAUAACAGUGGGAAACUACUGCUAAUACCGGAUGAUGUCUUCGGACCUAAAGAUUUAUCGGCAAAGGGAUGAGCCCGCGUAGGAUUAGGUAGUUGGUGGGUAAAGGCCUACCAAGCCGACGAUCCUUAGCUGGUCUGAGA